GCCUCCCGAAUUGUAGUCUAGAAAGACGCCAUCGGCCGCGACCGUCGCUAAAAUCCGCUGGAACGCGGUAUCGGAGAAGGUGAGAAUCCUGUGGCGUGGCGGCUCGCGGCCGCACGAUGCGCCCUUGCAGAGUCGGGUUGCUUGGGAUUGCAGCUUGAAGUGGGAGGUAAAUUCCUUCUAAAGCUAAAUACUGGCGCAUGACCGAUAGCGAACAAGUACCGUGAGGGAAAGAUGCAAAGAACUUUGAAAAGAGAGUUAAAAAGUGCUUGAACCCGGCGAGAGGAAACCCGGUUGCGCGUGGCUUCGCGUGAGGCAUCAGCCGCCCUUGUGGGCGGUGUACUGCGGACCGCGGGUCCGCCGCGCCUUGGCGGGCGGGAGAAGCACUCAGCUUUAGUUAGCGAGGACAUACCGCUCGCCAGGUCCCGGCGGACGCAACACGCGCCACCGACCCGUCUAGAAACACGGACCAAGGAGUCUGACAUGGAUGCGAGUACGCCGGCGGCAACCCGGCGUGCGCAGUGAAAGCAAAGGGCGUGCCCCGCCAACCAACCUUGAUUUUCUAUGAAGGGUUUGAGUCGAGCAUCACUGUCGGGACCCGAAAGAUGGUGAACUAUGCCUGAGGAGGUUGAAGUCUGCCGAAAGGCAGAUGGAGGGCCGUAGCGAUACUGACGUGCAAAUCGUUCGUCGAACUUGGGUAUAGGGGCGAAAGACUAAUCGAACCAUCUAGUAGCUGGUUCCCUCCGAAGUUUCCCUCAGGAUAGCUUGAACGCCGACGGUUUUGU
rnacentral:rRNA from 1 species